GAUUAAGUUAUUAAGGGCGCACGGUGGAUGCCUUGGCACUAGAAGCCGAUGAAGGACGUUACUAACGACGAUAUGCUUUGGGGAGCUGUAAGUAAGCUUUGAUCCAGAGAUUUCCGAAUGGGGAAACCCAGCAUGAGUUAUGUCAUGUUAUCGAUAUGUGAAUACAUAGCAUAUCAGAAGGCACACCCGGAGAACUGAAACAUCUUAGUACCCGGAGGAAGAGAAAAUUCGAUUCCCUUAGUAGCGGCGAGCGAAACGGGAAGAGCCCAAACCAACAAGCUUGCUUGUUGGGGUUGUAGGACACUCUAUACGGAGUUACAAAGGACGACAUUAGACGAAUCAUCUGGAAAGAUGAAUCAAAGAAGGUAAUAAUCCUGUAGUCGAAAAUGUUGUCUCUCUUGAGUGGAUCCUGAGUACGACGGAGCACGUGAAAUUCCGUCGGAAUCUGGGAGGACCAUCUCCUAAGGCUAAAUACUCUCUAGUGACCGAUAGUGAACCAGUACCGUGAGGGAAAGGUGAAAAGCACCCCGGAAGGGGAGUGAAAUAGAACCUGAAACCGUGUGCUUACAAAUAGUCAGAGCCCGUUAAUGGGUGAUGGCGUGCCUUUUGUAGAAUGAACCGGCGAGUUACGAUUUGAUGCAAGGUUAAGCAGUAAAUGUGGAGCCGUAGCGAAAGCGAGUCUGAAUAGGGCGUUUAGUACGUGGUCGUAGACCCGAAACCAGGUGAUCUACCCAUGUCCAGGGUGAAGUUCAGGUAACACUGAAUGGAGGCCCGAACCCACGCACGUUGAAAAGUGCGGGGAUGAGGUGUGGGUAGCGGAGAAAUUCCAAUCGAACCUGGAGAUAGCUGGUUCUCCCCGAAAUAGCUUUAGGGCUAGCCUUAAGUGAAGAGUCUUGGAGGUAGAGCACUGAUUGGACUAGGGGUCCUCAUCGGAUUACCGAAUUCAGUCAAACUCCGAAUGCCAAUGACUUAUCCUUAGGAGUCAGACUGCGAGUGAUAAGAUCCGUAGUCAAAAGGGAAACAGCCCAGACCGCCAGCUAAGGUCCCAAAGUGUGUAUUAAGUGGAAAAGGAUGUGGAGUUGCUUAGACAACUAGGAUGUUGGCUUAGAAGCAGCCACCAUUUAAAGAGUGCGUAAUAGCUCACUAGUCGAGUGACACUGCGCCGAAAAUGUACCGGGGCUAAACAUAUUACCGAAGCUGUGGAUUGACCAAUGGAUCAUGGUAGGGGAGCGUUCUAAGGACAUUGAAGUCAGACCGGAAGGACUGGUGGAGUGCUUAGAAGUGAGAAUGCCGGUAUGAGUAUCGAAAGUCGGGUGAGAAUCCCGUCCACCGAAUGACUAAGGUUUCCUGAGGUAGGCUCGUCCUCUCAGGGUUAGUCAGUAACUAAUCCGAGGCAGACAGGCGUAGUCGAUUGACAAAAUGUUUAUAUUCCUUUACCACCUCUUAUCUUUUGAUCAAUGGAGGGACGCAGAAGGAUAGAAGAAGCGUGCGGUUGUGUACCGCAAACCGACACAGGUAGUCAAGAUGAGAAUUCUAAGGUGAGCGAGCGAACUCUCGUUAAGGAACUCGGCAAAAUGACCCCGUAACUUCGGGAGAAGGGGUGCUUUUUAGGGUGCAAGCCUUGAAGAGCCGCAGUGAAUAGGCCCAAGCGACUGUUUAUCAAAAACACAGGUCUCUGCUAAACCGUAAGGUGAUGUAUAGGGGCUGACGCCUGCCCGGUGCUGGAAGGUUAAGAGGAGUGGUUAGCUUCUGCGAAGCUACGAAUCGAAGCCCCAGUAAACGGCGGCCGUAACUAUAACGGUCCUAAGGUAGCGAAAUUCCUUGUCGGGUAAGUUCCGACCCGCACGAAAGGCGUAACGAUUUGGGCACUGUCUCAACGAGAGACUCGGUGAAAUCAUAGUACCUGUGAAGAUGCAGGUUACCCGCGACAGGACGGAAAGACCCCGUGGAGCUUUACUGUAGCCUGAUAUUGAAAUUUGGCACAGCUUGUACAGGAUAGGUAGGAGCCUUUGAAACGUGAGCGCUAGCUUACGUGGAGGCGCUGGUGGGAUACUACCCUGGCUGUGUUGACUUUCUAACCCGCACCAUUUAUCAUGGUGGGAGACAGUGUCAGGCGGGCAGUUUGACUGGGGCGGUCGCCUCCUAAAGAGUAACGGAGGCGCUCAAAGGUUCCCUCAGAAUGGUUGGAAAUCAUUCGCAGAGUGUAAAGGCACAAGGGAGCUUGACUGCGAGACCUACAAGUCGAGCAGGGUCGAAAGACGGACUUAGUGAUCCGGUGGUUCCGCAUGGAAGGGCCAUCGCUCAACGGAUAAAAGCUACCCCGGGGAUAACAGGCUUAUCUCCCCCAAGAGUCCACAUCGACGGGGAGGUUUGGCACCUCGAUGUCGGCUCAUCGCAUCCUGGGGCUGUAGUCGGUCCCAAGGGUUGGGCUGUUCGCCCAUUAAAGCGGUACGCGAGCUGGGUUCAGAACGUCGUGAGACAGUUCGGUCCCUAUCCGUCGUGGGCGUAGGAAAUUUGAGAGGAGCUGUCCUUAGUACGAGAGGACCGGGAUGGACGCACCGCUGGUGUACCAGUUGUUCUGCCAAGGGCAUAGCUGGGUAGCUAUGUGCGGAAGGGAUAAGUGCUGAAAGCAUCUAAGCAUGAAGCCCCCCUCAAGAUGAGAUUUCCCAUCGUAAGCUAUAAGAUCCCUGAAAGAUGAUCAGGUUGAUAGGUUCGAGGUGGAAGCAUGGUGACAUGUGGAGCUGACGAAUACUAAUAGAUCGAGGACUUAACCAA
rnacentral:rRNA from 1 species